GCCUGGCUGGCUCCGUGGGUAGAGCCUGUGAUUCCUGAUCUUGGGGUCGUGGGUUCAAACCCCACACUGGGUA
rnacentral:tRNA from 1 species